UACGUAGGGUGCAAGCGUUGUCCGGAUUUAUUGGGUUUAAAGGGUGCGUAGGCGGCCUGUUAAGUCAGUGGUGAAAUCCAACAGCUCAACUGUUGAUGUGCCAAUGAUACUGACAGGCUUGAGUACAGACGAGGUAGGCGGAAUUGACAGUGUAGCGGUGAAAUGCAUAGAUAUUGUCAAGAACACCGAUAGCGAAGGCAGCUUACUACACGGUGAUUGACACUGAGGCACGAAAGCGUGGGGAGCAAACAGG
rnacentral:rRNA from 1 species